UACGUAGGGCGCAAGCGUUGUCCGGAAUUAUUGGGCGUAAAGAGCUCGUAGGCGGCUUGUCACGUCGGGUGUGAAAGCCCGGGGCUUAACCCCGGGCCUGCAGUGGAUACGGGCAGGCUGGAGGCAGGCAGGGGAGGAACGGAAUUCCCGGUGUAGCGGUGAAAUGCGCAGAUAUCGGGAGGAACACCGGUGGCGAAGGCGGUUCUCUGGGCCUGUACUGACGCUGAGGAGCGAAAGCGUGGGGAGCGAACAGG
rnacentral:rRNA from 1 species